rnacentral:snRNA from 1 species
GAAUGUGAGAUGCUGUCUGGCAGCAAUAUCUGUCACCCUAUUGAUCAGCAGGGUUACUUCUGCUGAUCUGGCUGGUUAAAUGGGUGUCCCCUCCUCUCUCACCUCACCAAGUGUGUCUCUCCCAAAGCUUUGCACUCAGUCCAAGAGGAUGAACUUCCCCAGCAGAGGGCAUCAAGGGUAUUGAGCAGCUGUGCUUCCCUGUUAGAACCUCCAAACAACCUCCCAAACUAGCAGAUGAUUAAUUGAUAAUAAGUUGCUAUCAUUUUCACUCAUUUAAAUCAUUCAUUUAGUAAAUACUAUUAGGCAAUGAUUUU